CAGCCGCGGUAAUACGAAGGGUGCAAGCGUUACUCGGAAUUACUGGGCGUAAAGCGUGCGUAGGUGGCUGAGUAAGUCGAUUGUGAAAGCCCUGGGCUCAACCUGGGAAUUGCACUGGAUACUGGCGGGCUAGAGUGCGGUAGAGGAUGGCGGAAUUCCCGGUGUAGCAGUGAAAUGCGUAGAGAUCGGGAGGAACAUCCGUGGCGAAGGCGGCCAUCUGGACCAGCACUGACACUGAGGCACGAAAGCGUGGGGAGCAAAC
rnacentral:rRNA from 1 species